AGAGAGAGAGAGAAAAUCUGGAUAUUCAUAAAACUAUGAAAAGAUGUCAAGGUCGGAGAAUAUUAAGAUAAAAGUCACCUUGGUAUCUGCGGAAUAUUAAUACAUCAGUUUAAACCGCGGGAAUAGGUGGUUUAAAGCUUAUUGGAUUGUAAACUCGAUGAAACGGAUUGACAAUGCAGGGGUCAGUUUUAAUGGCGAUCAUUUAAGAGCCGUUGCAGAUGGUUAGGUUUUAUCUUAUGACUGUGGAGAACAGAUCCCAGCUCUGUCACGUGCGCUGGGAUAUAUCGUCAUGGCGGCCAUUCACCAUGGGACGAACAUAAACACACGCAUUUUCACGACACGUCCCUUUACGGUAGUAAAACGUGUAAUGGCACUUUAUGAAGGCUGCGGGGGGUUAAAUAUUCAUGUAAACCCAGGUCAACCCUGGCAACCAGCCAGCCAACCAGUCGGUUGGGGGAGUCACAGCGAGGAGUCCAAACGAAAGCAGCGAGGAUCUCGCAUCUGUUGCAGAAAACCGAAUCGUUUUGGUGGGAGCAAAGGACACUGGCUUUUUUCAGUCCUUUUAUUUUUUAUGGCAACGGGAGGUCAUUGAAUUACCAAGAGUUCACGAAAUAAUAUAGAUACUCACCCAACCCAACAGAAUCUGACCUCAUACCAUACCUAAUGUCACCAGGAGGAUGCUGUUACCUAGGGAAUUUUCAAGAGAGAAUUUUCAAGGCGCUGGCUGAGUAUGCACCCCUGUCUGUACUAUAACGAGAGGAAACAGUCUGUGCAGUAGUACCAAGCGGCGAGGGUGCAGUACAGAAGCAACCUGGAAUAACCAGGAGGAACUAGAAGGAAGCCAGGACCAUCUAGCAAUGACGAAUGUCCUCGCUCUCGAUGCAAAUGGCCUUUCUGACACUGUCAAGUUAUCUAAUGCAUUUGCCAAAGCUAUUCAUGAAUCUCUAUACCCAACGUUCACGAAUACUCACCCUGGAUCCACCAGCAAGUACUGAGUCAUCGUACCAUCAGAGGGGCUGUCUAAGACGUACUGGUAGUUAUUUGUGUUGUCUUUUCAUGGAAUAAGCAACUAUGUACGCAGAUCGAUAUGCGGUUAUAAAUGUAUGUAUGUACAUACCAUGGGCACAAUAUCCAUUUUAGUAUCAUACGUCACAAGUGGACUUGCUGAGUGUCCAUUUUUACUAUAAAGAAAAAUUGAUUUAUAAAUAUGGUGAAACCUGUAAAAACUUUAUGAGUGUGGUUGAUGGUUACGUAGCACUAGGAAUUUAUGGACGUAAUAUGUAUAGUUGUGCAUAUAGGAUUCAGCUUUUGGUUUAUUGCAUUUAAUUGAGGUAGAAGGACGGCAAAGAUGGUGGAUCAAUUUGAGAGGAAUGACCCAAGCAGAGAAUCGAUAUUCCGUU